rnacentral:rRNA from 1 species
AUUGAACGCUGGCGGCAGGCCUAACACAUGCAAGUCGAGCGGAUGACGGGAGCUUGCUCCUUGAUUCAGCGGCGGACGGGUGAGUAAUGCCUAGGAAUCUGCCUGGUAGUGGGGGACAACGUUUCGAAAGGAACGCUAAUACCGCAUACGUCCUACGGGAGAAAGCAGGGGACCUUCGGGCCUUGCGCCAUCAGAUGAGCCUAGGUCGGAUUAGCUAGUUGGUGGGGUAAUGGCUCACCAAGGCGACGAUCCGUAACUGGUCUGAGAGGAUGAUCAGUCACACUGGAACUGAGACACGGUCCAGACUCCUACGGGAGGCAGCAGUGGGGAAUAUUGGACAAUGGGCGAAAGCCUGAUCCAGCCAUGCCGCGUGUGUGAAGAAGGUCUUCGGAUUGUAAAGCACUUUAAGUUGGGAGGAAGGGCAGUAAGUUAAUACCUUGCUGUUUUGACGUUACCGACAGAAUAAGCACCGGCUAACUUCGUGCCAGCCGCCGCGGUAACAC